UACAGAGACCUCAAGCGUUAUCCGGAAUCAUUGGGCGUAAAGCGUACCGAUAGGUGGUUUAGAUAGUUUUGGGUAAAAGCCAGAAGCUCAACUUCUGCGUUUGCUCAAAAUACUUCUAGACUUGAGGGACAAAGAGGUGGCUGGAACGAAUGGUGUAGUAGUGAAAUGCGUUGAUAUCAUUCGGAACACCGAAAGCGAAGGCAGGCCACUGGGUGUCACCUGACACUGCUAGGACGAAAGCGUGGGGAGCGAACAGG
rnacentral:rRNA from 1 species